rnacentral:rRNA from 1 species
GACGAACGCUGGCGGCGUGCUUAACACAUGCAAGUCGAACGGUGAGGCUCCAGCUUGCUGGAGUGGACCAGUGGCGAAAGGGUGAGUAACACGUGAGUAACCUGCCCCUGACUCUGGUAUAACCCCUGGAAACGGCGUCUAAUACUGGAUACGAGCAUGGUCUGCAUGGGCUCUUUCUGGAAAGUUGUUCGGUUGGGGAUGGUCUCGCGGCCUAUCAGCUUGUUGGUGAGGUAAUGGCUUACCAAGGCGACGACGGGUAGCCGGCCUGAGAGGGCGACCGGCGACACUGGGACUGCGACACGGGCCAGACUCCUACGGGAGGCAGCAGUGGGGAAUAUUGCACAAUGGGCGAAAGCCUGAUGCAGCGACGCCGAGUGAGGGAUGACGGCCUUCGGGUUGUAAACCUCUUUCAACAGAGCAGAAGCGAAAGUGACGGUACCUGCGGAAGAAGCACCGGCUAACUACGUG